GACGAACGCUGGCGGCGCGCCUAACACAUGCAAGUCGAACGAGCGAGAGUGAGCUUGCUUUCUCAAGCGAGUGGCGAACGGGUGAGUAACGCGUGAGGAACCUGCCUCAAAGUGGGGGACAACAGUUGGAAACGACUGCUAAUACCUCAUAAGCCCACAGGUCGGCAUCGACCAUAGGGAAAAGUAGCAAUCCGCUUUGAGAUGGCCUCGCGUCCGAUUAUCUAGUUGGUGAGUUAACGGCCCACCAAGGCAACGAUCGGUAGCCGGAGUGAGUGGGUGAAAGGCAAGAUUGGGACUGAGACACGGACCAGACUAGGACGGGAGGGAGGAGAGGGGAAUAGUGCAGAAUGGGGGAAACCCAGAUGAAGCGAGGAGGCGUGGAGGAAGAAGGGGUUAGGAUAGUAAACUGCUGUUGUAGAGGAAGAUAAUGACGGUACUAAACAAGGAAGUGACGGCUAACUACGUG
rnacentral:rRNA from 1 species